rnacentral:lncRNA from 1 species
CCACAAGUUGGCAGGAUGGGUUUAGGGGCUAAGGCAAGGCUGUUGGACAAGAGGGUUUGGCGAGGAGAGAAACUCCAUAGUGCAGACUAAAGCCCAUGCCCAAUCUGCUUAUGAACACAAGGUGUUUGACAGUUUGUCGGUGCCAUCAAAUGGACUUUGCUACCAACCAAAAUCUCCACGUAUGAGUCUCUCUAGAUGUUAUCCAUGAUGGUGGGGUUGUUUUGAGAAAAAGUGAAA